UACAGAGGGUGCGAGCGUUAAUCGGAAUUACUGGGCGUAAAGCGUGCGUAGGCGGUUGUCUAAGUUUGGUGUGAAAUCUCCUGGCUUAACUGGGAGGGUGCGCCGAAAACUGGGUGACUGGAGUGUCGGAGAGGUAAGCGGAAUUCCUGGUGUAGCGGUGAAAUGCGUAGAGAUCAGGAGGAACACCUGUGGUGUAGACAGCUUACUGGACGAUAACUGACGCUGAGGCACGAAAGCGUGGGUAGCAAACAGG
rnacentral:rRNA from 1 species